CCAGCAGCCGCGGUAAUUCCAGCUCCAAUAGCGUAUAUUAAAGUUGUUGCGGUUAAAAAGCUCGUAGUUGGAUUUCUGCCGAGGACAACCGGUCCGCCCUCUGGGUGAGCAUCUGGUUUGGCUUUGGCAUCUUUCUGGACAACGCAGCUGCACUUGACUGUGUGGUGCGGGGCCCAGGACUUUUACUUUGAGGAAAUUAGAGUGUUUCAAGCAGGCAUGCGCCUUGAAUACAUUAGCAUGGAAUAAUAAGACAGGACUUCGGUUCUAUUUUGUUGGUUUCUAGAGCUGAAGUAAUGAUUAAUAGGGAUAGUUGGGGGCAUUCGUAUUUAACUGUCAGAGGUGAAAUUCUUGGAUUUGUUAAAGACGGACGACUGCGAAAGCAUUUGCCAAGGAUGUUUUCAUUGAUCAAGAACGAAAGU
rnacentral:rRNA from 1 species